rnacentral:rRNA from 1 species
UACGGAGGGUGCAAGCGUUAUCCGGAUUCACUGGGUUUAAAGGGUGCGUAGGUGGGCUAGUAAGUCCGUGGUGAAAUCUCCAAGCUUAACUUGGAAACUGCCGUGGAUACUAUUAGUCUUGAAUAUUGUGGAGGUAAGCGGAAUAUGUCAUGUAGCGGUGAAAUGCUUAGAUAUGACAUAGAACACCGAUAGCGAAGGCAGCUUACUACACAAUUAUUGACACUGAGGCUCGAAAGCGUGGGGAUCAAACAGG